GGAGAUGUAGCUCAGUGGUAGAGCACUUGCCUAGGAUGUGCAAGGCCCUAUGUUUGAUCCCUAGUACCACCA
rnacentral:tRNA from 1 species